rnacentral:rRNA from 1 species
GUGCCAGCAGCCGCGGUAAUACGAAGGGUGCAAGCGUUACUCGGAAUUACUGGGCGUAAAGCGUGCGUAGGUGGUUUGUUAAGUCUGAUGUGAAAGCCCUGGGCUCAACCUGGGAAUUGCAUUGGAUACUGGCAGGCUAGAGUGCGGUAGAGGGUAGUGGAAUUCCCGGUGUAGCAGUGAAAUGCGUAGAGAUCGGGAGGAACAUCCGUGGCGAAGGCGACUACCUGGACCAGCACUGACACUGAGGCACGAAAGUGUGGGGAGCAAACAGGAUUAGAUACCCUGGUAGUCCACGCCCUAAACGAUGCGAACUGGAUGUUGGGUUCAACUAGGAACUCAGUAUCGAAGCUAACGCGUUAAGUUCGCCGCCUGGGGAGUACGGUCGCAAGACUGAAACUCAAAGGAAUUGACGGGGGCCCGCACAAGCGGUGGAGUAUGUGGUUUAAUUCGAUGCAACGCGAAGAACCUUACCUGGCCUUGACAUGCACGGAACUUUCCAGAGAUGGAUUGGUGCCUUCGGGAACCGUGACACAGGUGCUGCAUGGCUGUCGUCAGCUCGUGUCGUGAGAUGUUGGGUUAAGUCCCGCAACGAGCGCAACCCUUG